UACUACAGAAUAGAAUCAUCUUGGGAAACUUUGUCUGCUCCUAAAUUGCAUGAUACACAUCAUAAGUUAAAGUUACUUCAAAAAAUCAAAACAAAUAUUUAGAUUAGGAUUUUGAGUAAUUUCAGCUGAUGUUUUUCUGUGAGCUAGGUGCUUGUGACAAUAUAGAGAUCAAAUGGUCCAAUCCAAUAACAUAAGCUAUGUUUUCCAAAGCUAAAUAGUUUCUACAGUCAUUUAAUGUUUACAUAAUAUUUCAGGUUAACUUCCAGUGUUAAAUCAUAGUAAAUCUUCAAGAUAUUGAAGACAUCCCCAGAUCCAAUUCUCUACUGCUAUCUCUUUUGCAGACCAAAAUAAUGCUGCCACUCAAGAGGUUGUGAUGACCUCCACUUAGUUUAAAUUUAGGACAAUGUAGCAUAGAUAGAUAUUGUUUACUGUCACUACAACAUGGUUAAAAAUCAUAUCUAAAUAUUCUCUCCUCUCAGAUUAAGCUCUCACCACAGUUAUAAUUGUUUGGAAACUGAGGAGAGAUGGCUGAAAUCGAAGACUGACAAUUUAAAUCAAUGUAGAAAAAAUUUAAGUGCAAAUUUGGGCUCCUUUCCUUUCUUUUCUGUGAACUUCGUUUUCUUUACUAAUCAAUAACCCAAUCCCACCGUUGGGCACUCAACCGUUGUAUUUAGCAGGACGAGGAGCUGGAAGAGGGUGUUGGUAGUAUGGGAAUUGAGGAAAUUGUUAAUUGAAAUAAUUUCACAUUUUAAUAUAUGAGUUAAUUUCUUCCAAUUACAAUUUGUUUGUUUGUUGAUUUCACAAUCGGGACGAUAUAUAUUAUUAAUUUGAAUAGACAACUGAUUAUAUCAUUGGUUUUGUUCCUUUAUAAUAUAUUAAUGUUUAACAAAAAAAAAUGAUAAAACAAAUUAUAAUUAUUAACUUCAAUUUUCGAAAGCCGAAAUACAAUACCAAGGAACGGAAACAGUUUAACUUGCAAAGGUUUUUCACAAGAUUAGGGUACAAAAAAAAUAACAAAUAACUAUAAGAACAUAACGUUUUUACAAAAAUGUAAUGUAUGUAAUAUUAAACUUCAAUAUAAAUGUAUAUUAUAUAAAGGCUACUUAUUUUGUUUUUAUGAGAGUCAAAUAUUCUAUAGCAACAUACUUGUUGCCGAUUUAAUCUGAUUUUUACUCCGCAUUUUCCCCCAAAUCCUAGUCUCUAUAU